rnacentral:rRNA from 1 species
CAGUCGCCACGGGAAUACGGAGGGUGCAAGCGUUAAUCGGAAUUACUGGGCGUAAAACGCACGCAGGCGGUCUGACAAGUCAGAUGUGAAAUCCCCGGGCUUAACCUGGGAACUGCAUUUGAAACUGUCAGGCUGGAGUCUUGUAGAGGGGGGUGGAAUUCCAGGUGUAGCGGUGAAAUGCGUAGAGAUCUGGAGGAAUACCGGUGGCGAAGGCGGCCCCCUGGACAAAGACUGACGCUCAGGUGCGAAAGCGUGGGGAGCAAACAGGAUUAGAUACCCCUGUAGUCCCUGUCUCUUAUAC